UCCCCGCACAUAGCGCUGGAGCCCGAAA
rnacentral:sRNA from 1 species